rnacentral:rRNA from 1 species
UACGUAGGGUGCGAGCGUUAAUCGGAAUUACUGGGCGUAAAGCGCGCGCAGGCGGCCCGCGAGGUGUCACGUGAAAGCCCCGGGCUCAACCCGGGAGGGUCGUGGCAAACCGGCGGGCUUGAGGCCGGUAGAGGUGGGUGGAACUCCUGGUGGAGUGGUGAAAUGCGUAGAGAUCAGGAAGAACACCAGUGGCGAAGGCGGCUCACUGGCCCGGUACUGACGCUGAGGUGCGAAAGCGUGGGGAGCAAACAGG